CCUACGGGAGGCAGCAGUGAGGAAUAUUGGUCAAUGGGCGUAAGCCUGAACCAGCCAAGUCGCGUGAGGGAUGAAGGUUCUGUGGAUCGUAAACCUCUUUUAUCAGGGAAUAAAGUGUGGGACGUGUCCUGGGAUGUAUGUACCUUAUGAAUAAGGAUCGGCUAACUCCGUGCCAGCAGCCGCGGUAAUACGGAGGAUCCGAGCGUUAUCCGGAUUUAUUGGGUUUAAAGGGUGCGUAGGCGGCCUUUUAAGUCAGCGGUGAAAGUCUGUGGCUCAACCCUCGAACUGCCGUUGAAACUGGGAGGCUUGAGUAGGUGUGAGGUAGGCGGAAUGCGCGGUGUAGCGGUGAAAUGCUUAGAUAUCACGCAGAACCCCGAUUGCGAAGGCAGCAUGCC
rnacentral:rRNA from 1 species